CUGGACCAUUGUAUUGGUAUCAAUACACGUGUCACCGCCUGAAGGUGGUAUUGCACGGAAUUGAACGAGAUCGGAAUUGCAGAUGAUUUUUUCCCCCCUAAGAGUGAUACGCCCAGUUCUGCUGUUGAGUUUAAAGUUGAAGUUGAGGAAGGAGAUGUGAUUGUUGCUGGAACUGAUGGACUAUUUGACAAUUUAUUUGAGGAUAAUAUAAUCCAGGCCGUGAAGGUUGCUCAUGUUGUCUCUUCAUCAUGGGGUUAUUGAUUUCUUUCUGUUUUUUUAAUGUCAUUGCAAUUGAAUAUUUCAUUUUGUACCUUGGUGAUAUACCCAAAUCUAAUUGGUUAACCACCAUUGUUCAAUGAUUAAAAGAAAUAAGUAAAUAUGUACAUUGCUUGA